UACGAAGGGGACUAGCGUUGUUCGGAUUUACUGGGCGUAAAGCGCGCGUAGGCGGAUCGCUAAGUCAGGGGUGAAAUCCCAGGGCUCAACCCUGGAACUGCCUUUGAUACUGACGGUCUGGAGAUCGGGAGAGGUUGGUGGAAUUCCGAGUGUAGAGGUGAAAUUCGUAGAUAUUCGGAGGAACACCAGUGGCGAAGGCGGCUCACUGGUCCAUUACUGACGCUGAGGUGCGAAAGCGUGGGGAGCAAACAGG
rnacentral:rRNA from 1 species